CACCUUUUCAACCCGUCUGCAAACGCCUAUAUCACUCCUGCAUCCCGGAAACGGGCGGCUAUGGCGAUAGAGGGUGUCGUGCAAUAGACACAGCGGACCCGGGGGCGGUACCCGGCGGCUCCACCAUUCCAACCCCGUUGUCGGGGGCGGCAUGGGGCCGAAAUAGGAUCGACGUGUGUUCAAAGACGAAGACCUUCGCCCGGCCUGAAUAAGCCGUUAAAUGGUUCACAACCCAGAAAUGCCAACGACAACGAGGCAUUCGCAAUCGCAGCGUAACCCGGUCCUAACGGACUAAGUUACACUGGCCGAAAGCGCGGUACGGGCCACACCGGGCAACAGAAGUGGACACC
rnacentral:tmRNA from 1 species